rnacentral:rRNA from 1 species
CAGUAGCCGCGGUAAUACGUAGGGUGCAAGCGUUAAUCGGAAUUACUGGGCGUAAAGCGUGCGCAAGCGGUUAUAUAAGUCAGAUGUGAAAUCCCCGGGCUCAACCUGGGAACUGCAUUCGAGACUGUAUGGCUAGAGUGUGUCAGAGGGGGGUAGAAUUCCACGUGUAGCAGUGAAAUGCGUAGAUAUGUGGAGGAAUACCGAUGGCGAAGGCAGCCCCCUGGGAUAACACUGACGCUCAUGCACGAAAGCGUGGGGAGCAAACAGGAUUAGAUACCCCAGUAGUCCCUGUCUCUUAUAC